UACGAGGGGGGCAAGCGUUAUCCGGAAUUAUUGGGCGUAAAGAGCUCGUAGGCGGUUUGUCGCGUCUGCUGUGAAAACUGGAGGCUCAACCUCCAGCCUGCAGUGGGUACGGGCAGACUAGAGUGCGGUAGGGGAGAUUGGAAUUCCUGGUGUAGCGGUGGAAUGCGCAGAUAUCAGGAGGAACACCGAUGGCGAAGGCA
rnacentral:rRNA from 1 species